CUACGGGACGCUCCAGUGGGGGAUAUUGCACAAUGGAGGAAACUCUGAUGCAGCAACGCCGCGUGAGGGAAGAAGGUCUUCGGAUUGUAAACCUAAGUUGUCAGGGACGAACAAAUGACGGUACCUGAAAAGAAAGCUCCGGCUAACUACGUGCCAGCAGCCGCGGUAAUACGUAGGGAGCGAGCGUUGUCCGGAUUUACUGGGUGUAAAGGGUGCGUAGGCGGGUUUGCAAGUCAGGCGUGAAAUACCGGGGCUCAACUCCGGGGCUGCGCUUGAAACUGUAGAUCUUGAGUGAAGUAGAGGCAAGCGGAAUUCCUAGUGUAGCGGUGAAAUGCGUAGAUAUUAGGAGGAACACCAGUGGCGAAGGCGGCUUGCUGGGCUUUAACUGACGCUGAGGCACGAAAGCGUGGGGAGCAAACAGGAUUAGAUACCCCAGUAGUC
rnacentral:rRNA from 1 species